rnacentral:rRNA from 1 species
AGGACGAACGCUGGCGGCGUGCUUAACACAUGCAAGUCGAGCGGAAAGGCCCUUCGGGGUACUCGAGCGGCGAACGGGUGAGUAACACGUGAGCAACCUGCCCUCAGCUCUGGGAUAGCUCCGGGAAACCGGAAUUAAUACCGGAUAUGACCCUGACUGACAUCGGUCAGGGUGGAAAGGAUUCCGGCUGAGGAUGGACUCGCGGCCUAUCAGCUAGUUGGUGGAGUAACGGCCCACCAAGGCGACAACGGGUAGCCGGCCUGAGAGGGCGACCGGCCACACUGGGACUGAGACACGGCCCAGACUCCUGCGGGAGGCAGCAGUGGGGAAUAUUGCGCAAUGGGCGAAAGCCUGACGCAGCGACGCCGCGUGGGGGAUGAAUGCCUUCGGGUUGUAAACCCCUUUCAGCAGGGACGAAGCGAGAGUGACGGUACCUGCAGAAGAAGCGCCGGCUAACUACGCGCCAGCAGCCGC